UUCAAUAUCACACUCUUCUUUUAUUUUUAAAUUUAUUUUGUCAAGCCGCCAAAUUAAAAUAGUUUAUUUUAAAAGACAAUUGUAUAUAUCUCUUACGAUAUUCGAUCUAAUUAAAAAACUGAAACUACAAACUCUAUUAGUUUUCUUCAGGAACAGAAUGCUCCCCAUUACAUGGAUAAAAUAAAAAUAAGAGAGUACAUUACUGGUACACAAGACUCGAACGUAAUAAGAGAAAAUAAGAUCAAAACGCAAAACGAAACUAAGGUACUCUUAGUAACCAAAACCACACCAUUAUUAUAAACCAAACCUUUUUUCUCUCUCCCUACCUUUUACCUUUUAUUAAACCUGACACGUAUUAUUAUUAUUAUGACAAUUAAACUAUAUUUUUUGGACUACUUAUA